rnacentral:rRNA from 1 species
AGAACCUGAAACCGUGUACGUACAAGCAGUGGGAGCACGCUUAGGCGUGUGACUGCGUACCUUUUGUAUAAUGGGUCAGCGACUUAUAUUCUGUAGCAAGGUUAACCGAAUAGGGGAGCCGAAGGGAAACCGAGUCUUAACUGGGCGUUAAGUUGCAGGGUAUAGACCCGAAACCCGGUGAUCUAGCCAUGGGCAGGUUGAAGGUUGGGUAACACUAACUGGAGGACCGAACCGACUAAUGUUGAAAAAUUAGCGGAUGACUUGUGGCUGGGGGUGAAAGGCCAAUCAAACCGGGAGAUAGCUGGUUCUCCCCGAAAGCUAUUUAGGUAGCGCCUCGUGAAUUCAUCUCCGGGGGUAGAGCACUGUUUCGGCAAGGGGGUCAUCCCGACUUACCAACCCGAUGCAAACUGCGAAUACCGGAGAAUGUUAUCACGGGAGACACACGGCGGGUGCUAACGUCCGUCGUGAAGAGGGAAACAACCCAGACCGCCAGCUAAGGUCCCAAAGUCAUGGUUAAGUGGGAAACGAUGUGGGAAGGCCCAGACAGCCAGGAUGUUGGCUUAGAAGCAGCCAUCAUUUAAAGAAAGCGUAAUAGCUCACUGGUCGAGUCGGCCUGCGCGGAAGAUGUAACGGGGCUAAACCAUGCACCGAAGCUGCGGCAGCGACGCUUAUGCGUUGUUGGGUAGGGGAGCGU